rnacentral:rRNA from 1 species
AACAGGGAUUGCCCCAGUAACGGCGAGUGAAGCGGCAACAGCUCAAAUUUGAAAUCGGUCCCUUCUGGGGCUCGAGUUGUAAUUUGUAGAGGAUGCUUCGGGUGCAGAGCCGGUCUAAGUUCCUUGGAACAGGAUGUCAUAGAGGGUGAGAAUCCCGUAUGUGACCGGAUGCCUAGCUCAUGUGAAGCUCCUUCGACGAGUCGAGUUGUUUGGGAAUGCAGCUCUAAAUGGGUGGUAAAUUUCAUCUAAAGCUAAAUACCGGCCAGAGACCGAUAGCGCACAAGUAGAGUGAUCGAAAGAUGAAAAGCACUUUGGAAAGAGAGUUAAAAAGCAUGUGAAAUUGUUGAAAGGGAAGCGCUUGCCAUCAGACUUGCCUGCAGUGGAUCAGCCGGUGUUCUCACUGGUGCACGCCUCUGCAGUCAGGCCAGCAUCGGUUCAAGCGGCUGGAUAAAGGCUCCAAGAAUGUGGCUCCUCUCGGGGAGUGUUAUAGCUUGAAGCGCAAUGCAGCCUGCCUGGACCGAGGACCGCGCUUCGGCUAGGAUGCUGGCUUAAUGGUCGCAAGCGACCCGUCUUGAAACACGGACCAAGGAGUCUAACAUCUAUGCAAGUGUUUGGGUGUCAAACCCAUGCGCGUAAUGAAAGUGAACGGAGGUGGGAACCCUCAAGGGUGCACCAUCGACCGAUCCUGAUGUCUUCGGAUGGAUUUGAGUAAGAGCAUAACUGUUGGGACCCGAAAGAAGGUGAACUAUGCCUGAAUAGGGUGAAGCCAGAGGAAACUCUGGUGGAGGCUCGCAGCGGUUCUGACGUGCAAAUCGAUCGUCAAAUUUGGGCAUAGGGGCGAAAGAC